CACAGCCAGCUUGUUACGCCGCGGUGACUGCGUACAGCCCGCAGAGCCGCUAGUUAGGGAGACGCAGGGCCUCGGCUCCCAAAUAAACCGAAACUCUGCAAAGCAUUGGAGCUCAAGCUCACCAGAUCAAGAUGUUCAGGGGGCUCUGAGUUUGAGUUAAGGCUGAGGAUAAGGCGGUGGGGGCGGGCGCCCUGAAAUAACCCCAGGAUCAACCUCUGAAUUUGGCAAACGUCUGGGCAGGCUGGAUGAACUUGAACAUCUUGAUCCCGGGGCUGCUGUGUGCUGAGGUCCACAAAGUUUAAUUACGAUAGCAACUAAAUUCCCAUUGACAGGAUAUAUAAUAUUUCAGACUAGUGUGCCCUGGAUGAAACUGUGAACUGCUGACUAGAAUCAUCUUUUAACUAGAUGUACACCAUGGCACAAAUCAGCCAACUGGACUGCUUAUCCGGCUCCUGAAUCAGAAUUCAGGGUCUGCUUAGCAGCACCUAGAUGAAUUUGGCAGAAAAAGAACCAGAGCUAAUUAUCUUGCAAUCAUGAAGCUGAGAGAAAAACUUAAAGACAGAACUGAAGAGAGAGAGAAACAGGGAGCCAAUGCCACUCAACCAGCAAAGGCACUGUCAGGAGUGGUGAGGAGACAGUUGGAGAAGGCUGCUGAGGCAGUGAAGGGACAGUUGAAAGACUGGAAAGAGGAAAAAAUCACGUUAGUGGAGGCUGGAAAGGCAAUGAAGAAAUUUUUGGAGACUAGGAAAGACGAACACAAAGAAGCCAAAAAAUAGGGUGGAGUUUGCCUGAGUUUUCACACAGCCCCAACUGUGCUUAGAAGUCUCAGAGUGGAGAUCCUACUAUGGAAAUACUGUUACAAUGAAGGCAUAAUGAAAUGCAGGGUCAAAUUUCAGUCAAAUCAAUUGCCACCUUCACUUGCCUCUGAUUCCCCCUCUUUGCCCACUCAUCCUACUUCCUUAUCU